rnacentral:lncRNA from 1 species
AUCGAUUCCUUAUUGACCACUCAUAAUCUUCAUGCACACUUCAUCAUAUCUAGAAUAUCCUACAUACAUCUUAAAGUGGUGUGCUAGAGAAUAAACUAAAGUAAGGAUCCAUGUACACAAGGUAUCAUGGUGAUCUCAGAUCAAAGGAUCACAUGCACACUCUCAAUGGAGAACCUUCUAUUGACAUGCUAUAAGGCUCCAUC